rnacentral:rRNA from 1 species
CCUACGGGAGGCAGCAGUGGGGAAUAUUGCACAAUGGGGGGAACCCUGAUGCAGCAACGCAGCGUGGGUGAAGAAGUACUCCGGUAUGUAAAGCCCUGUCAGCAGGGAAGAAAAUGACGGUACCUGACCAAGAAGCCCCGGCUAACUCGGUGCCAGCAGCCGCGGUAAUCCGUAGGGGGCAAGUGUUAUCCGGAUUUACUGGGUGUAAAGGGAGCGGAGACGGCAAGGCAAGUCUGGAGUGAAAGCUCGUGGCCCAACCACGGGACUGCUUUGGAAACUGCGUGGCUGGAGUGCAGGAGGGGUAAGCGGAAUGCCUAGUGUAGCGGUGAAAUGCGUAGAUAUUAGGAGGAACACCGGUGGCGAAGGCGGCUUACUGGACUGUAACUGACGUUGAGGCUCGAAGGCGUGGGGAGCAAACAGGAUUAGAUACCCGAGUAGUC